GAUGAACGCUAGCUACAGGCUUAACACAUGCAAGUCGAGGGGCAGCAUGCUGGUAGCUUGCUACCAGUGAUGGCGACCGGCGCACGGGUGAGUAACGCGUAUCCAACCUUCCCAUGACCAGGGAAUAACCUUGCGAAAGUAAGACUAAUGCCCUAUGGUUUCCUCAGCGGACAUCCAAAGAGGAAUAAAGAUUCAUCGGUGAUGGAUGGGGAUGCGUCUGAUUAGGUUGUUGGCGGGGUAACGGCCCACCAAAGCGACGAUCAGUAGCCGACCUGAGAGGGUGACCGGCCACAUUGGGACUGAGACACGGCCCAAACUCCUACGGGAGGCAGCAGUGGGGAAUAUUGCACAAUGGGGGAAACCCUGAUGCAGCGACGCCGCGUGAGCGAAGAAGUAUUUCGGUAUGUAAAGCUCUAUCAGCAGGGAAGAUAGUGACGGUACCUGACUAGGAAGCCCCGGCUAACUACGUG
rnacentral:rRNA from 1 species